rnacentral:rRNA from 1 species
UACAGAGGUCUCAAGCGUUGUUCGGAUUCAUUGGGCGUAAAGGGUGCGUAGGCGGCCGAUUAAGUCUGGGGUGAAAGCCCGUUGCUCAACAACGGAACUGCCCUGGAAACUGGUCGGCUUGAGUACAGACGAGGGUGGCGGAAUGGAUGGUGUAGCGGUGAAAUGCAUAGAUACCAUCCAGAACUCCGAUUGCGUAGGCAGCUAACUAGGCUGUAACUGACGCUGAGGCGCGAAAGCUAGGGGAGCAAACAGG